CAACGAGCCGCUGGAGCCGCCAGUGACGUCACGAAGCCCCUCUCUGCAGCAGAGAGCGGUAAGGCCUGCAGAGGAGGACCAGACCCGAGAAACUACUCCUGGUCUGGCAUUUUGCUUGGUUGUGCUGCCUUCCUGGAGGAGGGUAUCGGCUGAGAUACCGCUGCCAACAAUUAAACUUUGUCCAACUCCUGCUUCUAGCAUUUUACUUCUGAUGAACAUAGAAAUUACUCCUACAUCAGUUCUUCUGUUUCUCUUAUGUGUAUUCUUCUGCUCUGUCUUCUGAAACUCCCAGUCGGUCAUGGCAGAUGGCCACUCGCACUCAGGAAGGUUCUGCUGGAGGUGAUUUCUUCAUUUGAAAGGGGAGUUUUUCCUCCCCCUUACAUUUGCUACAUGAAUGGUCGUCAUAAGGGUUUUUAAGUCAAUGACGCAGUCCAAGCGAUUGCCUACUGUCUCUAUAUGUGCUCGUCCUGGAGGAGUGAAUACUGCAAGUCAAUGUCUCAGUGCAACCUGCCGGGUUUCCUGCACAACAUUGCAGACAAGCUGAAGGUCGUUAUCAAAGCAACCUGGGCUUCCUUUACGUUUCAGCAGAGACACAGACUUCACUGUGUUGAUGGAGUAAUUUAUACAAAAGAAGCCCUGACCGAGUAUUGAGCGCAUAUACAAUGUGGAAAUGCUUUCGGUUAGCUAUAUUUUGUCUUGUUUCUUUUGUCAUUUUUAAAAUGUUUAAGAAAUUGA